rnacentral:rRNA from 1 species
AACGAACGCUGGCGGCAGGCUUAACACAUGCAAGUCGAACGCAUCCUUCGGGGUGAGUGGCAGACGGGUGAGUAACGCGUGGGAACGUGCCCUUCAGUUCGGGAUAACCCAGGGAAACUUGGGCUAAUACCGGAUACGUGCGAGAGCAGAAAGAUUUAUCGCUGAAGGAUCGGCCCGCGUCUGAUUAGCUAGUUGGUGGGGUAAUGGCCCACCAAGGCGACGAUCAGUAGCUGGUCUGAGAGGAUGAUCAGCCACAUUGGGACUGAGACACGGCCCAAACUCCCACGGGAGGCAGCAGUGGGGAAUAUUGGACAAUGGGCGAAAGCCUGAUCCAGCCAUGCCGCGUGAGUGAUGAAGGCCUUAGGGUUGUAAAGCUCUUUCGGCCGGGACGAUAAUGACGGUACCGGAAGAAGAAGCCCCGGCUAACUUCGUGCCAGCCGCCGCCGUAA